GAUGAAGAACGUAGCGAAAUGCGAAAAGUAAUGUGAAUUGCAGAAUUCAGUGAAUCAUCGAAUCUUUGAACGCACAUUGCGCCCGCCAGUAUUCUGGCGGGCAUGCCUGUCUGAGCGUCAUUUCAACCCUCACGCCCCUAGGGCGUGGUGUUGGGGACCUGCGGCUGCCGCAGGCCCUGAAAUGCAGUGGCGGGCUCGCUGUCACUCCGAGCGUAGUAGUUACAUCUCGCUCUGGGCGUGCUGCGGGUUCCGGCCGUUAAAAGCCUUAUUUACCCAAGGUUGACCUCGGAUCAGGUAGGAAGACCCGCUGAACUUAAGCAUAUCAAUAAGCGGAGGA
rnacentral:misc_RNA from 1 species